GAUGAACGCUAGCGGCAGGCCUAACACAUGCAAGUCGAGGGGUAACAUAGAAAAGCUUGCUUUUCUGAUGACGACCGGCGCACGGGUGCGUAACGCGUAUACAACCUACCUUUUAGCGGGGAAUAGCCCAGGGAAACUUGGAUUAAUGCCUCAUAGUAUAUAAGCUUCUCCUGAAGUUUAUAUUAAACAUUUAUGGCUAUUAGAUGGGUAUGCGUCCUAUUAGUUAGUUGGUAAGGUGACGGCUUACCAAGGCAGCGAUAGGUAGGGGUCCUGAGAGGGAGAUCCCCACACUGGUACUGAGCCACGGACCAGACUCCUACGGGAGGCAGCAGUGAGGAAUAUUGGACAAUGGGCGAGAGCCUGAUCCAGCCAUGCCGCGUGCAGGAAGACUGCCCUAUGGGUUGUAAACUGCUUUUACAGAGGAAGAACCACCCCCACGUGUGGGGGUUUGACGGUACUCUGCGAAUAAGGAUCGGCUAACUCCGUG
rnacentral:rRNA from 1 species